AGGGCAGGUCAGUUGGUACAGGAGUCGGCGGAGGCAGAGUUGGGCUUAGCAGAAAGCCUGGAAGAUAAUGCUGGAAUGCAGAGGCACCGAGGAUGUGAUGCAGCAAGAAGGCCACUGUCUGCAAACCAGGAAGAGGGCUCUCACCAAGAACAGAAUCAGCCAGCACCUUGACCUUGGACUUCCAGCCUCCAGAACUGAUAUGAGGCCUACAAAUCCGGUGUGCUGCCAUCAGUUGGACAGGUCGGCCAAGUUAUGGCAUCAUGAUCCAAGGAGAAAGGACUCUGUCAGGAUCUGCUCCAGCUUGAAGAAUGGCCAAGGCCGUCAACUGGAACAGCGCAGCUGCUUGCCAGCCUCCAGCCCUGGCCUGGCCACUUCCUGGAAAGUCAAUUGUUGUUCUGUGCUACAGCCCAGAGAGUAUAAAAGGCUAUCAGACCCAGGCAGGUUUGGUCUGUAUCUCAAAGACU
rnacentral:lncRNA from 1 species